rnacentral:rRNA from 1 species
CGAUGUGCCGCAGGUGAAAGAUUUAUUGCCUGAAGAUGAGCUCGCGUCCGAUUAGCUAGUUGGAGUGGUAAGAGCACACCAAGGCGACGAUCGGUAGCUGGUCUGAGAGGAUGACCAGCCACACUGGGACUGAGACACGGCCCAGACUCCUACGGGAGGCAGCAGUGGGGAAUUUUCCGCAAUGGGCGAAAGCCUGACGGAGCAAGACCGCGUGAGGGAGGAAGGCUCUUGGGUUGUAAACCUCUUUUCUCUGGGAAGAAGAUCUGACGGUACCAGAGGAAUCAGCAUCGGCUAACUCCGUGCCAGCAGCCGCGGUAAUACGGAGGAUGCAAGCGUUAUCCGGAAUUAUUGGGCGUAAAGCGUCCGUAGGUGGCGGUUCAAGUCUGCCGUUAAAACCAGUAGCUUAACUACUGACAGGCGGUGGAAACUGAACAGCUAGAGUGUGGUAGGGGUAGAGGGAAUUCCCAGUGUAGCGGUGAAAUGCGUAGAGAUUGGGAAGAACACCGGUGGCGAAAGCGCUCUGCUGGACCACAACUGACACUCACAGGACGAAAGCUAGGGGAGCGAAAGGGAUUAGA